CAAUAGCGUAUAUUAAAGUUGUUGCGGUUAAAAAGCUCGUAGUUGGAUUUCUGCUGAGAACGACCGGUCCGCCCUCUGGGUGUGUAUCUGGCUCUUUCUUGGCAUCUUCUUGGUGAACGUUGCUGCACUUGACUGUGUGGAGCGCUACCCAGGACUUUUACUUUGAGGAAAUUAGAGUGUUUCAAGCAGGCAUACGCCUUGAAUACAUUAGCAUGGAAUAAUAAGAUAGGACCUCGGUUCUAUUUUGUUGGUUUCUAGAGCUGAGGUAAUGAUUAAUAGGGAUAGUUGGGGGCAUUCGUAUUUAACUGUCAGAGGUGAAAUUCUUAGAUCGGUCAAAGGCGAACUACUGCGAACGCAUUCGCCAAGAAUGUUUUCUUUAA
rnacentral:rRNA from 1 species